GGAAAACCAAAUGCUGCUUUGGGGGCUAUAAACCGGUUUAAAGUAUAUUUUGAACUCAAGUCUGGUACUGUUCUGACGUAAUAAAUUGUUGAAGCCGGAAUUGUGUCAUCUAUGUCAGAGGAAUUAAAACUUAAAUUGGAUUUUAAUUAUUUUGUGGUAGCAUGGUCUUACUUCCCACAAGUAAGUAUGUGCAUGUCCUGGUGCACAGGAUGGCAGGAUUUAUUCAUGUUUCUACUUACAGGCAAAGGCUGCAGGGCAUACACAGGUUCUUGACUUCUUUAGACAUUAGCGGUAAACAAGACUGUAGAAGAUGGUCAUUCCUCUUCAGAAGCAACAGCUUUGAAUCGUUAAUGAUGUUAAGCAGUUAUGACGG